rnacentral:rRNA from 1 species
CAGUCGCCGCGGGAAAACGUAGGUGGCAAGCGUUGUCCGGAAUUAUUGGGCGUAAAGGGCUCGCAGGCGGUUUCUUAAGUCUGAUGUGAAAGCCCCCGGCUCAACCGGGGAGGGUCAUUGGAAACUGGGAAACUUGAGUGCAGAAGGGGAGAGUGGAAUUCCACGUGUAGCGGUGAAAUGCGUAGAGAUGUGGAGGAACACCAGUGGCGAAGGCGACUCUCUGGUCUGUAACUGACGCUGAGGAGCGAAAGCGUGGGGAGCGAACAGGAUUAGAUACCCGCGUAGUCCCUGUCUCUUAUAC